GACGAACGCUGGCGGCGUGCUUAACACAUGCAAGUCGAACGCUGAAGCUCAGCUUUUGUUGGGUGGAUGAGUGGCGAACGGGUGAGUAACACGUGAGUAACCUGCCCCCUUCUUUGGGAUAACGCCCGGAAACGGGUGCUAAUACUGGAUAUUCACUGGUCUUCGCAUGGGGGUUGGUGGAAAGGGUUUUUCUGGUGGGGGAUGGGCUCGCGGCCUAUCAGCUUGUUGGUGGGGUGAUGGCCUACCAAGGCUUUGACGGGUAGCCGGCCUGAGAGGGUGACCGGUAACAUUGGGACUGAGAUACGGCCCAGACUCCUACGGGAGGCAGCAGUGGGGAAUAUUGCACAAUGGGCGCAAGCCUGAUGCAGCGACGCCGCGUGAGGGAUGGAGGCCUUCGGGUUGUGAACCUCUUUCGCUCAUGGUCAAGCCGCAACAAUGGUUGUGGUGAGGGUAGUGGGUAAAGAAGCGCCGGCUAACUACGUG
rnacentral:rRNA from 1 species